rnacentral:snRNA from 1 species
GGAUGUGAGGACGAUCUGGCUGUGACAUCUGUCACUUCAUUGAUCUCCAGGGUUGAUUUGGCUGAUCUGGCUGGCUCGGUGGGUGUCCCUUUCCUCCCUCACCACUUCAUGGGUGUCCCUCCAAAGCUGCAUGCUCAGUCAAAGAGGAUGACCAUCCCCAAUAGAGGAGGACUGGUCUUAGGUCAAGGGUAUAUUAGUAGCUGCAUUCCCCUGCUAGAACCUCCAAACAAGCUCUCAGUAAGAGGUAUUCGAUAUUCUCAUGGUCAAUAAGUUUAUAUGUAAUAAUUUAUCUAUAAAAUUUU